AGUGGAAUUGCUGGGUCAUAUGCUAAUUCUAUUUUUAGUUUUUUGAGAAACUGCCAGAUUGUUUUCCAUAAUAGCUGUACCAUUUUGCAUUCCCACCAGCAAU
rnacentral:pre_miRNA from 1 species